rnacentral:rRNA from 1 species
GACGAACGCUGGCGGCGUGCCUAAUACAUGCAAGUUGAGCGCUGAAGGUUGGUACUUGUACCAACUGGAUGAGCAGCGAACGGGUGAGUAACGCGUGGGGAAUCUGCCUUUGAGCGGGGGACAACAUUUGGAAACGAAUGCUAAUACCGCAUAAAAACUUUAAACACAAGUUUUAAGUUUGAAAGAUGCAAUUGCAUCACUCAAAGAUGAUCCCGCGUUGUAUUAGCUAGUUGGUGAGGUAAAGGCUCACCAAGGCGAUGAUACAUAGCCGACCUGAGAGGGUGAGCGGCCACAUUGGGACGGAGACACGGCCCAAACGCCUACAGGAGGCAGCAGGAGGGAAUCUUCGGCAAUGGACGAAAGUCUGACCGAGCAACGCCGCGGGAGUGAAGAAGGUUGUCGGAUCGUAAAACUCGGUUGGUAGAGAAGAACGUUGGUGAGAGUGGAAAGCUCAUCAAGUGACGGUAACUACCCAGAAAGGGACGGCUAACUACGUG